CCUGCAUUUCUGUGCUCCGAAUAUGUAUUAAUGUUAUUUCAUGUUCAUUUGUGUUUCAUAAGCAUUUUUCUUAAAUACAAUUUUGCAUUAGUUUCAUUUUUAUAGAUUAUUGUUUUUCAUCAGCAUAUGUGCCAAACAUUAGGAAAAUAUAGUUGGUGAUGAUAAGUCAGUCAAAAGGGCUAAAAACAUGUUAUCACUGGAGAAAAAACUUGAUGUGCUGAUAAGGUUAGGGUGUGGCAGUAGUGCUAUGUUGAUGGCCAGUUUAAUGAAUGUAAUCAAAUCAACUAUAAAGAUCAUUAAAACAAAAGAAGAAGUAAUUUUAAAGCUAAUGUCUGCUACUAGUGCUAAAAUUACCUCUAUGCACUAUGAUCUCAUUAUGGAAAGGAUGAAAAAGACAUUUAACAUUUGGAUUGAGGACCAAAUACAAAAGAGAAUUCCUUUAAAUAGUUCAGUGAUAUGUAAAGAAGUACCAAGAAUAUAUGAAC
rnacentral:lncRNA from 1 species